GAGUUUGAUCAUGGCUCAGAACGUACGCUGGCGGCACGCCUAACACAUGCAAGUCGAGCGGGGUAGCAAUACCUAGCGGCAGACGGGUGCGUAACAUGUGGGAAUCUGCCUUUUGGUUCGGAACAACAUGGGGAAACCUGUGCUAAUACCGGAUAAGUCCUAACGGAGAAAGUUUUAAUGCCAAAAGAUGAGCCCGCAUUUGAUUAGCUUGUUGGUGAGGUAAAAGCUCACCAAGGCUAUAAUCAAUAGCUGAUUUGAGAGGAUGAUCAGCCACACUGGGACUGAGAUACGGCCCAGACUCCUACGGGAGGCAGCAGUGGGGAAUCUUGCACAAUGGGCGAAAGCCUGAUGCAGCGAUGCCGCGUGAGUGAAGAAGGCCUUUGGGUUGUAAAGCUCUUUUGUCGGGAAAGAUAAUGACUGUACCCGAAGAAUAAGGUCCGGCUAACUUCGUGCCAGCAGCCGCGGUAAUACGAAGGGACCUAGCGUAGUUCGGAAUUACUGGGCGUAAAGAGUAUGUAGGCGGCUAGAUAAGUUAAUUGUGAAAGCCCAAAGCUUAACUUUGGAACUGCAAUUAAAACUAUUUAGCUGGAGUAUGAUAGAGGAAAGCGGAAUACAUAGUGUAGAGGUGAAAUUCGUAGAUAUUAUGUAGAACACCAGUUGCGAAGGCGGCUUUCUGGAUCAUUACUGACGCUGAGAUACGAAAGUAUGGGUAGCGAAGAGGAUUAGAUACCCUCGUAGUCCAUACCAUAAACGAUGAUUAUUAAAUGUGGGGAAUUAUUUCUCUGUAUUAUAGCUAACGCGUUAAAUAAUCCGCCUGGGGAGUACGACCGCAAGGUUAAAACUCAAAUGAAUUGACGGGGACCCGCACAAGCGGUGGAGCAUGUGGUUUAAUUCGAUGAUACGCGAGGAACCUUACCUGGGCUUAAAUGUGACCGGACAGACUGUGAAAGCAGUCCUUCUUCGGACUGGUCUCAAGGUGCUGCAUGGUUGUCGUCAGCUCGUGCUGUGAGGUGUCGGGUUAAGUCCCAUAACGAGCGCAACCCUUAUCUUUAGUUGCCAGCGAGUAAUGUCGGGGACUUUAAAGAGACUGCCCGUGUAAACGGGAGGAAGGUGGGGAUGACGUCAAAUCAUCACGGCCCUUACGUCCAGGGCUACACACGUGCUACGAUGGUGAGUACAGAUGGUUGCUGCUUGGUGACAAGUUUGCUAAUCUAUAAAACUCAUCUCAGUUCGGAUUGGAGUCUGAAACUCGACUCCAUGAAGUUGGAAUCGCUAGUAAUCGCAUAUCAGCCAUGAUGCGGUGAAUACGUUCCCGGGCCUUGUACACACCGCCCGUCAAGCCAUGGAAGUUGGGAGUGCCUAAAGUCGGAAACCAUAUAGGAUCCGCCUAGGGUAAAACCGAUAACUAGGGCUAAGUCGUAACAAGGUAACC
rnacentral:rRNA from 1 species